ensembl:lncRNA
AGAAAGUGAAGCCUCUGCGUCCUCUGUUUGCGUACAUGUCACUUUCUAGGAAAAGCCUGAGAUAUUUAUAGCUGGCGAGAGACUCUACACAACCUCUCGUUUGUCUUUAAGCGUGUUCAGGAGCAGAUAGGAAUCUUCACGGCGUGUAAUGUUCUUCAUCGUCCUGGAUCCUGACGGCAGAGGGAACAGAUCCUCGGAUCACCUCGGAUCACCUCAGGAAGCAGCUAUUUCCGCCACUUGUGUAUAAAAUAAACACGGGGAGAAUGUUUACGGGGAACUGCUUUGUCACGCUCUCCUGCAAAAAUGUAGAAAAAAAUCGAAGUAUCAGGCCCGUUGUGAGAAAAACUGUAAUCAAGCUUUAACGCUAAUAAUGGCUGAGAUUUCCCGAGGCUUAUAAUAAAACCUCUGUAAAAGUCGAGACAAGUUCUGUUCUUCUCCCCCGAAAACAGCAGGACACCGGGACGGAUACGAAAUGUCAGGAUGUGAUCUCGGAGUUUCCCCAAUGCCUUUUCCAUCGCACCGCUCCAGAACUUGUGGGAGACCCGUGGUGAAGGUUCUGGUCUACUGCUCUGAAGGUCGUGAUGAGAAAAACUUCCGCUGUUGGACCCUUAAUCAAGACCUUUAACAUCCUCCGCUCCUCCGCUCUCGUCCAGCAGGAAUGAACUUCACGUUGGAAAAAUAGACCCAAAACAACAACAACCACCACCAGAUGGAUGGAGUCUAGAUAGUCUGGUGAUCCACUACCCAGAGGACAGGAGCAGUGAAGCAGGGAGGAAAAAACAACUAAACAAGCUGCUGAGAGAUCACCCGAGACCCCCCGAGACCCCCCGAGACACCCGAGACUCCCCGAGACCCCCCGAGACCCCCCGAGACUCCCCGAGACACCCCGAGCAGACUUUAAAAGGCACGGUGAAAGAGCAGUAACGACAGACGUUUACGCUCGAAAACCUCGAAAAUCUACAUCACUUCAUACUGGUGAAAGAGGGAGAAUACUUUUUGUGACUGUGACAAUAUUACUAUCAUCAUACUAGCUUUAUAAUAAUCAGCUAAGAAAAACAUGUUGUUUAGCUAUAAAACAGCUAUUUAUGCGAUCACUUUCGGUUAUGCUGUAGCUAGCUAACAAUGUUUAUUAAAAUACAUAAUGCAUAGUCAAACCUAGCUAAGUUAUUAUUGCUAAGUGGCUGAUUAGCAAGUUUACAUGUCUUACGUAGAAUCAGUUUUCACUGCCCAGAGCCUUAUGUUGUUGCGUUAUCAAUAUGCUAGCUGCGUUCUCUAUAUCACAGCUCUUGCGUGGGUCAGUGUAUGCUAAUCUCACAAACUAGUAGCUAAUUACUAGCUACUACUACUACUACUACUACUACUACUACUAGCCACUAAGCUAGUAGACAUCAUUUUGUAUUUGAAUGUAAGUCAUCUUUGAUUAAAAACAACACAAAAGGAA